GACGAACGCUGGCGGCGUGCUUAACACAUGCAAGUCGAACGGAAAGGCCCUGCUUUUGUGGGGUGCUCGAGUGGCGAACGGGUGAGUAACACGUGAGUAACCUGCCCUUGACUUUGGGAUAACUUCAGGAAACUGGGGCUAAUACCGGAUAGGAGCUCCUGCUGCAUGGUGGGGGUUGGAAAGUUUCGGCGGUUGGGGAUGGACUCGCGGCUUAUCAGCUUGUUGGUGGGGUAGUGGCUUACCCAGGCUUUGACGGGUAGCCGGCCUGGGAGGGUGACCGGCCACAUGGGGACUGAGAUACGGCGCAGACUCCAACGGGGGGCAGCGGUGGGGAAUAUUGCACAGUGGGCGGGAGCCUGAUGCGGCGACGCCGCGUGCGGGAUGACGGCCUUCGGGGUGUGAACCGCUGUCGCCUGUGACGAAGCGUGAGUGACGGUAAUGAGUAAAGAAGCACCGGCUAACUACGUG
rnacentral:rRNA from 1 species